UACGUAGGGGGCAAGCGUUGUCCGGAUUUAUUGGGCGUAAAGAGCGUGUAGGCGGCUUUACAGGUCCGUUGUGAAAACUCGAGGCUCAACCUCGAGACGCCGGUGGAAACCGUAAAGCUAGAGUCCGGAAGAGGAGAGUGGAAUUCCUGGUGUAGCGGUGAAAUGCGCAGAUAUCAGGAAGAACACCGAUGGCGAAGGCAGCCAUCUGGACCGACACUGACGCUGAGGCGCGAAAGCGUGGGGAGCAAACAGG
rnacentral:rRNA from 1 species